GUUAUCGAUAUUAGUAACAAAAACAUUAUAUUCUUAAUGAAUAAUAAUUUGUCUUUUUCUUAAUAUCGAUAUACGGUCACACUUGUAUAAUAUCGUUCUCUUCUUCUUCUGACUUCUGAGCUGUGUGGACGUAUUGAGGAAGGAUUAUAUUUUUAUAUUAUUGACGGCAAGCGCAGUGCUAAUAAAAUACAAAAUACGAAUAAAUACAAACAUAAAAGGAAACCUUACAUUCUGUUUAAUAUAUGUAUAUACUACUGGAAGGCUGAAACCAAAGGAUGCACAAGAUAUACACGGAUUAAAUAUUCGACUCACGUUUUGUUUACUGAAAAUUAUUUAAACAGAAUGGAAAAGGCAAAAAGAAAUAUUAAACCAUUCGACGGGGAAAAGUACGCAAUUUGGAAAUUUCGCAUUAGGGCAUUAUUGAGCGAAAACGAUACCAUAAAAGUGAUUGAUGAAGUUUGUGAUGGUGCAUCCGAUGUAUGGAAAAAGCUUGAAAUAUCAGCCAAGAAUACAAUAAUUGAAUAUUUAAGUGAUUCCUUUUUGAGUUUUGCCACAAGUGAAUGUAGUGCUAAAGAAAUAUUUGCAAAUUUAGAUAAAAUUUAUGAGAGAAAAAGUUUAGCCAGCCAAUUGUCUCUCAGAAAACAAUUGCUGUCAUUAAAAUUAAAAGGCGAAAUGGUAUUAGUAAACCAUUUUACAGUUUUUGAUGACCUUAUAACAGAGUUGAUCGCAUCUGGCGCAAAGCUGGACGAAAUGGACAAGGUGAGCCAUUUACUGCUGUCUCUACCUUCUUCUUAUGAUGGCGUCAUUACUGCCAUUGAAACAUUAGCAGAAAAUAAUUUGACUUUAGCAUUCGUUAAAAAUAGACUUUUAGAUCACGAAAUAAAACUAAAACAGUCCUCAAAAGACACAAGUCUUAAAGUAUUACAUGCAGUGAAUAAAGUUAAUAAAUUUAAUAAUUUUCAAAAUAAAACAAAUUUCCAAAAUAAAAUUCAGUUUAAGUCUAAAAACAAAUUUAAUAAAUUAAAAUGUUACCAUUGUGGCAAGACUGGACAUAUCAAAAAGGAUUGCUUUAAAUACAAGAAAGAAAUGGAAAACAAUCAAGAAAGACAAG